rnacentral:lncRNA from 1 species
AUGGCAGAGGGCAGCCUUGGGCCUCUGCUUAGGCUGCCAUGGUGCCCUGGCACUCCUAUUCCCAGGGGAGCGUCUGCCAGGCUGGAGCACACCAUGGGGCAAGGGAGACAAUGGCCCAACACCCUCCAGAGGCCAGAAGGGGUGAACCUGAUGGAAGAUAUUCACAUCCCCCCAACAGCGGGUGGAGGGAAUAAACAAUGCCUCAUUGGAAAGUAUAAGUCCUUGAGGUGUGUUCAUUCACUCUCUAUGAUGACCUUUUAGCUUAGGCUCUGCCAUCCUCCCUGUGUUACAGAUGGGCUAAGAAGAACGUUUCUCGUAAGGCCGUUGUGAGGAUCACAUGAGGUAAGUGUUAUAAGGGACUCAACACACAGCCUGCAAUGUGGUCAGAGUGCAGUGGAGAUUAGCCACCGCCACUGGGGGGAGGUUGUUGUCAUGGGCUCUGCCUGGUUAUUGCAUUUCUCUGCUUUAAUCUCCACAUGGCUGGGUUAGAAGGGCCAUUUCCAGGGCCUUCCCAAACUGAGGGCCUCCAUCCUCAGGUGGUCCUCUCCCUGACCCAACGCUGUUCUCUGCAAUGACAGAUCACAAGAAUCUCCUCGUCUGGUGGACUCACCAAGAACAAGCCCCCGCCCCAGGUAGAGGUACCUGACUCAGGCACCCUGUAGUCCCGUCCUUCCGAGCACCAAAGGAUCCCAGGCUUGCCUGUCCCAGAGUGAGCCACUCCACAGCAGUAGGGCCUUGGAGCAUUUACCUUUACAGCAACAAGCCCAUUUGUGACUUUUUUUUUUUUUUUUUUUUUUUUUGACAGAGUCUCACUUUGUCCCCAGGCUGGAGUGCAGUGGCGCAAUCCAGGGUCACUGCAACCUCUGCCUCCCGGGUUCAGGUGAUUCUCGUGCCCCAGACUCCCAAGUAGCUGGGAUUAUAGGCGCCCACCACCACGCCCAGCUAAUUUUUGUAUUUUUAGUAGAGACGGGGUUUCACCAUGUUGGCCAGGAUGGUCUUGAUCUCCUGACCUUGUGAUCUGCCUGCCUCGGCCUCCCAAAGUGCUAGUGCUGGGAUUGCAGGUGUGAGCCACCGCAUCCAGCCAUGUGACUUUUUGAAGAUAAUAAAUGGUAGGAUUUUGGUGACUAAGAUUUCUUU